AACGAACGCUGGCGGCAGGCCUAACACAUGCAAGUCGAGCGAGGACUUCGGUUCUAGCGGCGGACGGGUGCGUAACGCGUGGGAAUGUGCCCUUCUCUACGGAAUAACUCUGGGAAACUGGGGGUAAUACCGUAUACGCUCUUUUGGGGAAAGAUUUAUCGGAGAUGGAUCAGCCCGCGUUGGAUUAGGUAGUUGGUGGGGUAAAGGCCUACCAAGGCGACGAUCCAUAGCUGGUCUGAGAGGAUGAUCAGCCACACUGGGACUGAGACACGGCCCAGACUCCUACGGGAGGCAGCAGUGGGGAAUCUUAGACAAUGGGGGCAACCCUGAUCCAGCCAUGCCGCGUGAGUGAUGAAGGCCUUAGGGUUGUAAAGCUCUUUCAGCUGGGAAGAUAAUGACGGUACCAGGAGAAGAAGCCCCGGCUAACUCCGUG
rnacentral:rRNA from 1 species